GCCUGGGUGGCUCAGUCGGUUGAGUGUCUGACUUCAGCUCAGGUCAUAAUCUCACGGUUUGUGGGUAUGAGCCCUGCAUCAGGCU
rnacentral:tRNA from 1 species